GACGAACGCUGGCGGCGUGCUUAACACAUGCCAGUCGAACGGAAAGGCCCCUUCGGGGGUCCUCGAGUGGCGAACAGGUGAGUAACACGUGAGUAACCUGCCCUUGACUUCGGGAUAACUUCAGGAAACUGGGGCUAAUACCGGAUAGGAAUCCUUGCUGCAUGGUGGGGGUUGGAAAGCUUCGGCGGUUUUGGAUGGACUCGCGGCUUAUCAGCUUGUUGGUGGGGUAGUGGCUUACCAAGGCUUUGACGGGUAGCCGGCCUGAGAGGGCGACCGGCCACAUUGGGACUGAGAUACGGCCCAGACUCCUACGGGAGGCAGCAGUGGGGAAUAUUGCACAAUGGGCGGAAGCCUGAUGCAGCAACGCCGCGUGCGGGAUGACGGCCUUCGGGUUGGAAACCGCUUUCAGCAGGGGCGAAGCUUGUGGUGACGGUACCUGCAGAAGAAGCACCGGCUAACUACGUG
rnacentral:rRNA from 1 species